AAGUCGUAACAAGGUUUUGCAUUGCAACAGGUCCUUCUGUAGCAGAGCUUCGCGGAGACCUUGCACCGGGCAACCGGCGGCAGCACGACUGGAAAGAAAGCUCGCCACGCAAGUCAGAAAUGGCAACACAAUCGAACUGCAGGGACGCCUUAACGCUCACGGUACCAACCGUCCACGGCAACGUGGGCGGGGCUGGCGGUUGCCAGAGGUUAUAAUCCGGGGGAUGCACCAAUAGGCCAUCUGCAGCGCGCCCCGUUUACACGGAGCCGCUCACAGACUAAGUGAUUGUGGGGAGGGCUUCGGCCCUGCUUAAGACAUAGUCGGACCCGCGCGAGAGCGCUGGGGGUUCUGCUGAACGAAUCGUCCGUAGGUGAACCUGCGGAAGGAUCAUUACCAAUUGCCGGCGCGCAAGCGUCGACUCACACCCUGUGUUAAUCUACCUUUGUUGCUUUGGCAGGCCGCGGCCUCCGCUGCGGGCUCACGCUCGCACGCGCCUGCCAGAGGACCCAACUCUUGAUGUUAGUGAUGUCUGAGUACUAUUAAAUAGUUAAAA
rnacentral:misc_RNA from 1 species